UACGUAGGGUGCAAGCGUUGUCCGGAAUUAUUGGGCGUAAAGAGCUCGUAGGCGGCUUGUCGCGUCGGCUGUGAAAACUCGGGGCUCAACCCCGAGCCUGCAGUCGAUACGGGCAGACUAGAGUGCUGUAGGGGAGACUGGAAUUCCUGGUGUAGCGGUGAAAUGCGCAGAUAUCAGGAGGAACACCGGUGGCGAAGGCGGGUCUCUGGGCCGAAAUUGACGCUGAGGAGCGAAAGCGUGGGGAGCAAACAGG
rnacentral:rRNA from 1 species